UUCUCUGCAGCCAAAACCUUCUCGCGGCCAAAACCUUCUCGCGUCUAAAGUCCUUUGCCGAACCCAAAACCUCCACCACUCCCUCUCUGCACUCACUCUUCACCGUACAUCUCCGCCCAACCUCUCUCUGAUGAACCACCCUCCAAGAACCUCUCAAUUGAAAUCUUUCCCUGCCUAAACUCUAAACUCCCUCUCCCCGAACUUCUCCACCCACCCUCUUCGGUAAAUCCCUCUCUUCUCUUGAAUGGGUGAAGCAUGAAAAGAAGAUGCUUUUCCCCCUAAACCCUUCACUCUACCCCGACUUCUUGAAUGGAGAUGAGGAAUGUUUCUCUUGACUUCACAUCACCUAGAAGUAAUCAGUAUGCAUUCCAAUAUUUAGAUGCAAUUUGGGAAAUAGACGUGUUUCUUUGGUUGAAAAAUGUCUAGAGUUUUUCUCUUCAUGGGUUUCAUAUUUAUCAAAAGUUUGGAUGAUUUUGUUCAUUUGUUGCCUGCUAGGUUUUGAGACAUCACAUUAAAGAAAAGUUUUUCUAGCGAUUUGAGACUUUUCUCUGUGUUCUCUUAAACUUCCUUUCACUAUCAAUCAUUUUUUUAAAGAUUUUGAUUCUUCUAUUAGUGAGAUUCUUGAAGAUAGAGGUAUUUAAAUUUUUAAUAAAGCGACUACAAGGUGAAAAACCUGAAUGUUUCUUUGUGUCUCGAUGUAGUUUUAAGUUGUUUUCAUCAUGAGAUAUAAAUAUUUAGAUUUUUCUUAAAUCAUCCUGAGACAUCUUGAUUGAAAUGAUUUUCUUGUAGGAAUAAAUGAUGUUGUGGAAUUCAGAUUUUUGUUAAACAAAUAUCUUCUAGUAUUUUCUUCCAAUUACUUGUGUAGGCUAUGCACAAGGAGGCUGAGAGCAAAGUUUCAUUCAAUCACUUGAUUAAUUUGUUUGAUGAUUCUGUUGAAGACAAGAGUGAUUUCUUCCCUCCAAUUUAUACAAGCAGGAUUGCUGAGAGCUUACAUUAUUAAACAGUUACAUUUUGAAAGCAUCAAAAGGGUCAUGGACCCGAUCAGAUCAAGCUACAUUUGGGCUCAAAUCAAGGGC